rnacentral:rRNA from 1 species
CCUACGGGUGGCAGCAGUGAGGAAUAUUGGUCAAUGGACGAGAGUCUGAACCAGCCAAGUAGCGUGAAGGAUGACUGCCCUAUGGGUUGUAAACCUCUUUUAUCAAGGAAUAAAACGAGUCACGUGUGCCUUUUUGCAUGUACUCGAUGAAUAAGGAUCGGCUAACUCCGUGCCAGCAGCCGCGGUAAUACGGAGGAUGCGAGCGUUAUCCGGAUUUAUGGGGUUUAAAGGGUGCGUAGAGGGUUGUUCAAGUCAGCGGUCAAAUUGUGGGGCUCAACGUCGGACUGCCAUUGAAACUGGGAGUCUUGAGUGCACGUGAGGUAGGCGGAAUUCGUGGUGUAGCGGUGAAAUGCAUAGAUAUCACGAAGAACCCCGAUUGCGAAGGCAGCUUACUAACGUGUGACUGACAUUGAUGCUCGAAAGUGUGGGUAUCGAACAGGAUUAGAUACCCGAGUAGUC